CUCGCGAUAGUUGAUCUAUAACUGCAUUUCUCACGAGAAUUUCUAAGCAGCCAAUCGUUGUUGAGUGUUUGAGUCACAUGUACCACCGUCAGCCCAUUAGCUAGGUAUAUUAGCUGGAGCGAGAAGUAUGGAAGAUCAGAGCGUGUUUGGGAGAGCAGAGCUGCAGAAGUCUCCUGUCGUGAGCUGAGGGAUAAGAGAAACACAAAACCGAUUGUAUGCCUUAUGAACUGCAGAAUUGGCCAGGUUCGAUGGCGAGCUGAAGAAUCAGGUCCAAGAGCCUAAAAGGAUUUCACCUGUGGUGUCAAAAGAUGUGGUUUCCCCACCAGGCUGGUGGGAGACUUCCUGCAGCCCAUGAAGAAAACUGUUUCCACUCUGAUCUGACUUUUGUCAGCCUAGGAAUUGCAGCAAGCGCUCUAACCAACUCACCUGACCCUGUUGAACCACCCCAGUUCGGGGGGUUUAUAAACUGAAUGGUGUGGCUACGGAGCUAAUUAUGUUUCUUUUGUUUAAUUGUUUUCUUUGUUUGUUUUUUUUAUUUAAUAUGGCCAUUUGAAUGUUUUUCUUUCCCUUUCUUAUUGUAAUGUAUAUAUGUACAUAAUUAUUCACUGAGAAUACAAGACACUCACAUCUGCAAACUCCAGUGGUCUACUCCAGUGGUCCCCAAACUUUUUCCUGUGAGGGCCACAUAACUUUUCCCUUCUCUGGUGGGGGGCCGGAGUCAGUUUGUAACAGAAGAAGUUUGACGUUUAUCACCUGCGCUGCCGGAAAUUAUUGGCCGGGGGGGGAGGGGCGUUUCUCGAUUGUUUUUUACCCAGAAA